rnacentral:rRNA from 1 species
GACGAACGCUGGCGGCGUGCUUAACACAUGCAAGUCGAACGGAAAGGCCCUGCUUUUGUGGGGUGCUCGAGUGGCGAACGGGUGAGUAACACGUGAGUAACCUGCCCUUGACCUUGGGAUAACUUCAGGAAACUGGGGCUAAUACCGGAUAGGAGCUCCUGCUGCAUGGUGGGGGUUGGAAAGUUUCGGCGGUUGGGGAUGGACUCGCGGCUUAUCAGCUUGUUGGUGGGGUAGUGGCUUACCAAGGCUUUGACGGGUAGCCGGCCUGAGAGGGUGACCGGCCACAUUGGGACUGAGAUACGGCCCAGACUCCUACGGGAGGCAGCAGUGGGGAAUAUUGCACAAUGGGCGGAAGCCUGAUGCAGCAACGCCGCGUGCGGGAUGACAGCCUUCGGGUUGUAAACCGCUUUCGCCUGUGACGAAGCGUGAGUGACGGUAAUGGGUAAAGAAGCACCGGCUAACUACGUG